GGAAGUCGAAUACUUAGAAUGCCAAUGCUUUUCACAGACGGAGAUGGACGAGAGAACUUUUGUCACCAAAGACGAGACGAGCGGGAAAACCCUCACUUCUAAUAGUAGGACAGCAAGGCUGCUGCUUCAGAGCUUUCACUUUCAGUCCCUGGUUCAAAAUCAUUCUUAUUUCCGGGCGGAAGGCAAUCAGUCGAAAGAACGAAAGUCAGAGAAAGUCGCAAGCAAGGGUGCUCGUAGAUCAGCUCGACCACCGGGAGAGAGUGCUCGUAGAUCAGGGAUUUCGAUUCCAUUCCUUUGAAUUGGACUUUGAAGCAGAAUUAGACGCGGAUUUGAAGUCGCCAGCGGACUUACCCGAUGUUUUCU